GUAGCUGUGAGCGUGGUGGGCUCAGCACAAUGGCAUGUGGCUGCGUGAUGCAUCACGGGGUGUGCAGAAAGCACAGUGCAGGGGGACCGUGGUGGAGCUGCACUGCACAGCGGCUCCGUGUGCCAGUGGGCUGAGGACGUGCGUGUGCACGGUGCCUGCGUGCAGAGCACGUGUUGGUGCACCCCAAUGGCUCACCUCUGGGCCUGCAGGGGGACACACUAGCCCUAAAAGCCAUUUAGACCCUAUAACUGCUCUCUGAGGGGCAGCCCCAGCCUGCGCCCUUUGGAGACACACACACCUCCUUGCCCAGACGCCUCCAAACACCACUUCCAACCAUUGGCCCCGCUUUGGUUCGGGGUCUGGGAGAGCAGCAUCCCCCAGCCGUGCUGUGCAGGGGAGAGGUGGCAGAAAGGAACACCCAGCACUACUAACAGCGAGCCUCUGGCUUGGGGCUGCCAGCACGUCUUACUCAAGCCUGCUCAUUUCCUGGUCCCUGUGCAUGCCGUUGGCAUGAGCCACUUUGGCUCCUUCUUCCUCCAGCCCAAGCCAGUGAAUCACAGGAGCCCCAGCAGGGCCGUUAUGGGCUGUCCUCCUCUGACCCUCUCCUGCAGAACCAGCCCCACACAGCCCCGCUCCUGGCCGGAGGGAGGGGAUGCAGCAAAACGCCCUGGCUGUGGAAGUGCCCCAAAUAGCCAGCGGUGCCCAUGCGGUUUCCCCCUGGCUGCCCACAGGAGGUGUGCAUGGCAGUGUGAGUAAGGGAGGAAAACAACCCUCAGAAAAACAAGGUUUGGGCAAAAAGCAGCCCGGGAUGCUCCCGUCCCGCACUGACUCACGGCCCAUAAAGGCUCCUUUAAUAGCUGUGAGUCACAGCACGGGGCACGCUGAUGGAUGAAGAUUGCCUUCAUCCCCCUUGGCUCGCAGCACAUGAUGGCACUGAUGCCGUGCCACCGGGCGGUUCCCCCAUGCCAUUCUGUGCUGCCAGCCAUUUUUAGCAGCACUCUCUUUCCCUGGCAUGCUUUCUGUCUGUCUGUCUGUCUGCCAGGAGCGACCGUUGGGCACACCAUGAGCUGGGCCAAGAGUGGGACAUAUGGCUUUGUCACAGGGCUGCGGGUAGAGCUCAGGGAGCAGAGGCACAGCCCAACAUCCACCUGCCCAAAAGCAGCCGGGCAGUGAGCGCCCUAUCUGAGGUCACUUUCUCCAAGUGCUGCAUGCCAACAGAAAGCUUUGUUCCU
ensembl:lncRNA